rnacentral:tRNA from 1 species
GUCUCGGUGGUCUAAAGGCUUAGGACGCUCGCACAGAAUGCAAGAGAUCCGGGUUCGACUCCCGGCAGAGGCA